AAUAUAUAAAAGUUGGUUAAGCCGACGAUUAUCCUGAUUUUACGCCGUUUCUUCGAUAUUGAAAGAUAAGCCAAUUAACAGAUACCAUUGAAGAAGUAAGCGUCAAUUUUUUUUGAGGCGUGUGUCUUCAAACCACUAUAACUUUAAUUCUACUGAAUGUUUUUAGCUAAAAAUUUAACUGUAUACUCUUGAAAUAU